AGUCGAACGGUAGCACAGAGAGCUUGCUCUCGGGUGACGAGUGGCGGACGGGUGAGUAAUGUCUGGGAAACUGCCCGAUGGAGGGGGAUAACUACUGGAAACGGUAGCUAAUACCGCAUAACGUCGUGACACACAAGUGGGGAACCUUCAGGCCUCACACCCUCGAAUGUGCCCAGAUGGGAUUAGCUAGUAGGUGGGGUAACGGCUCACCUAGGCGACGAUCCCUAGCUGGUCUGAGAGGAUGACCAGCCACACUGGAACUGAGACACGGUCCAGACUCCUACGGGAGGCAGCAGUGGGGAAUAUUGCACAAUGGGCGCAAGCCUGAUGCAGCCAUGCCGCGUGUAUGAAGAAGGCCUUCGGGUUGUAAAGUACUUUCAGCGAGGAGGAAGGCAUUGAUGGUUAAUAACCUUAGCGAUUGACGUUACUCGCAGAAGAAGCACCGGCUAACUCCGUGCCAGCAGCCGCGGUAAUACGGAGGGUGCAAGCGUUAAUCGGAAUUACUGGGCGUAAAGCGCACGCAGGCGGUUUGUUAAGUCAGAUGUGAAAUCCCCGGGCUCAACCUGGGAACUGCAUUUGAAACUGGCAAGCUUGAGUCUCGUAGAGGGGGGUAGAAUUCCAGGUGUAGCGGUGAAAUGCGUAGAGAUCUGGAGGAAUACCGGUGGCGAAGGCGGCCCCCUGGACGAAGACUGACGCUCAGGUGCGAAAGCGUGGGGAGCAAACAGGAUUAGAUACCCUGGUAGUCCACGCCGUAAACGAUGUCUAUUUGGAGGUUGUUCCCUUGAGGAGUGGCUUCCGGAGCUAACGCGUUAAAUAGACCGCCUGGGGAGUACGGCCGCAAGGUUAAAACUCAAAUGAAUUGACGGGGGCCCGCACAAGCGGUGGAGCAUGUGGUUUAAUUCGAUGCAACGCGAAGAACCUUACCUACUCUUGACAUCCACAGAACUUAGCAGAGAUGCUUUGGUGCCUUCGGGAACUCUGAGACAGGUGCUGCAUGGCUGUCGUCAGCUCGUGUUGUGAAAUGUUGGGUUAAGUCCCGCAACGAGCGCAACCCUUAUCCUUUGUUGCCAGCGGUCCGGCCGGGAACUCAAAGGAGACUGCCAGUGAUAAACUGGAGGAAGGUGGGGGUGACGUCAAGUCAUCAUGGCCCUUACCAGUAGGGCUACACACCUGCUACAAGGGCAUAUACAAAGAGAAGCGACCUCCCCAGAGCAAAUCCAACCUCAUA
rnacentral:rRNA from 1 species